ACAAUCCAAGGCUAACAGAAGUUCAUAAGGUCACAAAAAAAUGCAAUUAAAUGAAAUAAAAUGCACCAAAAGUAUUUUUUAAAUGAAUUUUAAAAUAGAAAUAAAAUGAAAAAUCCAUAAAGUCCUUCAAAAUAUCAAAUAAAUGGCAAAGAAAAUUAUAGAAGGUUAGAAAUGAAAAGAGAAAAAUCAAGAAAAAUAGAAAACUAGUGAAAU
rnacentral:lncRNA from 1 species